UCUACUCACCACUUUCCUUGGACCGUGAUGCUGCACAGCGCCGCUUUGUCUAUUGCUUUAUUUUCAGACACCGUAUUUAUGUUGAAACUUCAAAAUAACAUUAAAGGCGAAUAUGAGGUUUCAUUUUAUCAAACGAGUUUAAUAACAAGUUGAAAAACAAUACUGGAGAAUCUGUCUUUUCUUAAUGUUUAUGUGUCCACGUAUUUGUUAUUCUUUUAAUCAAUUCUCACUGAACAAUCGUAUGUCCGACACUAAAGGCAUUAAUGAACGCCACACAAUCCAUGGGAGAAGAUGUGUGUGUCUGGCUUCUUCAGUCUCCUAGCCUGCCCGGUUACUCUGUAUUAAUCAAGUUUCCUUGUUGUUUUUUCCUAGGUGGGCUUGUUCUUUGCUCUGACAGUUGUUCCCCUAAUAGUGUAUCCUAGGCCUGAACUCCUCUGAGCAGGAUCGUAAUUGGAGACAGAAAUUACAAGCUUAAAAUAUUAAUUUUCUUGAGGGCAACUACAACAUUAUUUCCAUCCCUAAAUUCUGCACAGAUCUGAGCCCAGCCUGACAAACAACAUCCGCUAAUUGGUAUAACACCAUGUGGUUGUCAAAAGGGUGAAAGGAAUUGAUGAAGGAUGCCAGUUGAUUCAGGCCAAGGAAAUGUGACCAUCACUGUCUAAGGCCAUUGUGUUCUUCUGAAUCCUUUCCUAAGAAGAGGGCAGGGGACGGAGCUCAGCAAGAUGUAGCCUCAGCUGGAGUCUACCUCAGCUUGUUCUGGGGAGCCCUGGAGCAGGAAUGAUGUCUCAGGGUUGUCCCAAUUUGAGGCAAGGCUUAGUAACUCUGCUUCAGCCCUGCAUGGGCUAAUCUUCCAGGCAUCUCUGGCUCUUGGAGGCUCCAUUGACCAUGGACAACCCUCCCAGAGAAAGGGGUAGCUGUGAGCAGUUAAUGACCAACACCAGAAGCAGUUGGACUGGAUGCACCAGCUGGCAAAAAAGAACUGGAGAAGGCAGCUACUAUUCUGUGGAGGUGAGAAUGGCCAUGGUGCACUGGGACCCAGUGAGGAGAGCAGGCAUGUUUGAGGAGAUGAGGUACAGUAAGGAGUAGUGAGUAAGAUUGGUUCAAGUUCUAGAGCUGAGAGAAAUGGAGAGGGAUUAAUGAGCAAUACUAAGGACCUGUUGGAAUGGUGACCAUGAAUUUACCAUGAUAUGAUUAUGUGUGAUUUCAUGGAGAAAGCCAACACUUGGGUUCAUCUAAAGAUGUAUUUUGCCAGAGAGAGGUACAAGAGAGUUGAGGGUGUUGGCAAAAUGGGAUCGGGAGGGAAGUGAAGACAGUGAUCUAAUGGAUAGAAAGGUGAGAAAAGGAUCAAAGAUCCCAAAAUAGAAUAGUGCUCGUGGGAGUCACUGAGCAAGUAAGAUGGAAGGAAAGGAGGGUGUCUCCACCAGCCGUUUUGGAAAUGGAGCAGAUGCCAGUGAUAGAGGAGUCCCAGAUGGGACUAUGGGAGUGGAUCCCAAAGAGAGCUCAAGGAGACCUCUGCAGAGAGGACUCAGACCUACAUUGGGUCAUCUGUGUCCCCGUGGGAGUCACCUAGGAUAGUGUCAUGGCAGAGGCAGGAGAAAGGCUAGGAUCCAGGAGCCGGGGCCUGCUCUUGAUGAACAGGAGAGACCAAGAGGUCAGAGAUGGCAGAGAAUGAGAAAGGUGAUUUCAGUGGGAAGAGUCCCCAAAAAGUAGAACUUCUUUUUUCUUGUUAAUUUUAGACUAUUACCUUUUUUUUUUUUUAAGAAGA